rnacentral:misc_RNA from 1 species
GAUGAAGAACGCAGCGAAAUGCGAUAAGUAAUGUGAAUUGCAGAAUUCCGUGAAUCAUCGAAUCUUUGAACGCACAUUGCGCCCGGCAGUAAUCUGCCGGGCAUGCCUGUCCGAGCGUCAUUUCUACCCUCGAGCGAGUACAGCAUCUAGGUGCUGGGCCUCGCCCGGCGUUGGAGCACUACGGGAAGCCCUGUGCUGUCCCCCGUAGGCCCCGAAAUGAAGUGGCGGUCCUGCCGCGGCGCCCCCUGCGUAGUAUAACAGCUCGCUUCGGGACCCGGUGGAGGCCUGCCGUCAAACCUAUACUCUCUAAGUUUGACCUCGGAUCAGGUAGGGUUACCCGCUGAACUUAAGCAUAUCAAUAAGCGGAGGA